rnacentral:rRNA from 1 species
CAGCGCCGCGGUAAUACGGAGGGUGCAAGCGUUAAUCGGAAUUACUGGGCGUAAAGCGUGCGUAGGUGGUGGUUUAAGUCCGUUGUGAAAGCCCUGGGCUCAACCUGGGAAUUGCAGUGGAUACUGGGUCACUAGAGUGUGGUAGAGGAUAGUGGAAUUUCCGGUGUAGCAGUGAAAUGCGUAGAGAUCGGAAGGAACAUCUGUGGCGAAGGCGACUAUCUGGGCCAACACUGACACUGAGGCACGAAAGCGUGGGGAGCAAACAGGAUUAGAUACCCCUGUAGUCCCUGUCUCUUAUACA